rnacentral:rRNA from 1 species
AUACGAGGGGUGCAAGCGUUAAUCGGAAUUACUGGGCGUAAAGCGUUCGUAGGCGGUUUGUUAAGCAAGAUGUGAAAGCCCAGGGCUCAACCUUGGAACUGCAUUUUGAACUGGCAGACUAGAGUAUUGUAGAGGGUGGUGGAAUUUCCAGUGUAGCGGUGAAAUGCGUAGAGAUUGGAAGGAACAUCAGUGGCGAAGGCGGCCACCUGGACAAAUACUGACGCUGAGGAACGAAAGCGUGGGGAGCAAACAGGAUUAGAUACCCCGGUAGUCC